UUGAACAAAUAAAGGAAGCAGAACUAAGUGCAUAUCGCACACAGUUGAUGUGAGCCAAGUCCCGUAUGAGAGUAAAAACAGCUAGAGCCAAGGACACAUUGUCCUUGGCUCCAAGGUGUUAUCAAUGAUUAGUCCUGGGAACUUGCGGGUGAUGUAAUGCAGAAGUUGCUGGGUAAACCAAAUUGCUGUUACCAAUAAGGAGCUCAGCUUUUGCAAUAUGUAUGAGCCUGAUUAGUCCUAUACUAUAUAAAGAAAGACCACGCCUAAUAAAGUUGAAGUACACUGAUCACUCAUAUUGAGCGUCUGGGUCUUCCCUCCGUCGGCUCCUCCCGUGCAAGUUUCCAACAAAUGGCGCCCGAACAGGGACCCUGCCGAACAGGGACUCGGUGAUUAAAAACUCAGGAGUCGACAGAGUGCUAGAGACAGCUGGUCCUGCUGUGCUAAAGGCGACGUGACACAAAAGGGGGUCUACGUGCCAGAGCUACAGAGGAGGUGGAGAGGACACAAACAAAGGGGGUCCGUGCCCAGGACAAGACGGGGUCCUGCCAGAAAGUCUCGCCGCAGGUCUUGCAAAGGUUGCAACGGACCGGUUUGGGUUCCCAGCAGAUUUACGAAACCUGUGAUAGACGAAGGAGCGACUGUGGACAAAGACUAUGCUCGGAAUCGGACAGACAACUCUGCGCAAAAUUGUCCUAUUGAUCAUGAUAAUUGCUGAAGGGUCUACAAUGUUGUCUCAGAUUGAUAUUCAACAGAAUAUGUGGGUUACAUGGGCUAACGAAACUAACCAGCGUACCUUUUGUUUGUCUCUAGCCUCAGGAGGUGAUCCCUUCCGGACGUGUCUGUUUGGGGUGCCUAUAGGAACUCCAAAGGAAUUGGUCAAGCUGUUAGGCCCGUACUCAACUUCGCUUACUCUCUUAAGUGGGUCCUUCUCGAGCAACCUCUCAGACGGAGUGGUUGCUGCACUGCAACAUCUUAAUAUAUCGUUGCCAUGGGAUCCACAAGAAUUAGAUUUGUUAGGGUCAGUAGCAGUAGGAAACACUAGUGAUAAUUGGACACAAACCUGUUUUAUACUAAAUAAAGGUAAACAAAAUAAGACUCAUUGGACGAACAUAACGUCUAGAACUUUAGGGUUUAACGCCAACGGUAAUUAUUGUGGGUGGAAUAACUCCAAUAAUAGUGAGCCACUUGGGGCCUAUGGAGUAAAUGAUCACAACUCAAUGUGGCCCAUGAGUGCCCCUAAGGCACUGCCUCCUGGUAUUUUUCUAAUUUGUGGUGACAGAGCAUGGCAAGGUGUGCCAGGAAAUGCUUAUGGGGGACCUUGUUAUAUAGGACGCCUAACACUCUUUGCCCCUGAUUUACAUGAUCAGCGUUGGUCAAAUCUGACUGCAGCAAUCAGACAUAGAAGAAGUGAGAAUCGUCGAGGCAAGCGUGAAUUGAAAAAACUAGGUUCAGAUUGUGUUGAUGAUGUAGAAUUAUGGGGGCCUGCGGAAAGGUUUUUCGCCGCGGCUUUAGCUCCUAACGUUGCAGUUGCGCAUGCCAUGUCUAAUCUAAAUAAACUUGCUUGUUGGGCUGUUAAACAAUCAAAUGUUACUACACAAAUUCUCUCUGAAAUGUCACAGGAUAUGGAUAGCCUGAGACAUGCAGUGUUGCAAAAUAGAGCAGCUAUAGAUUUUCUGCUUUUGGCACAGGGACAUGGGUGUGAAGAUUUUGAAGGAAUGUGUUGUUUUAAUCUUUCUGAUCAUGGACAGUCAAUCCAUGAGCAAUUGAAAUGGCUAAAGGACCACACCCAGAGAAUCACCGUACAGUAUAAUUGGUUUGAUGAUCUGUUUAGAAAGAUGUUUGGUAAUGUGAGUACCUGGAUUUUGAGCUUGAUCAAAGAAGGGCUACGUAUUCUAUUCAUAAUUGUAUUAGUUUUAAUUGUAGUAAGAGUGAUUUUUAGCUGCUUAACACAAAAGCUUGAACAAUUAACUAAAAAGGUCUUUCUCGCACAAAAUAAAAACGGGGGAAUUGUGGAGGACUGGCUUGAGGGCAGAGGUCAUGUGAAGAUUGAACAAAUAAAGGAAGCAGAACUAAGUGCAUAUCGCACACAGUUGAUGUGAGCCAAGUCCCGUAUGAGAGUAAAAACAGCUAGAGCCAAGGACACAUUGUCCUUGGCUCCAAGGUGUUAUCAAUGAUUAGUCCUGGGAACUUGCGGGUGAUGUAAUGCAGAAGUUGCUGGGUAAACCAAAUUGCUGUUACCAAUAAGGAGCUCAGCUUUUGCAAUAUGUAUGAGCCUGAUUAGUCCUAUACUAUAUAAAGAAAGACCACGCCUAAUAAAGUUGAAGUACACUGAUCACUCA